UGGGAGGGGAUUGGAGAUAACCUUCAUUGGCAGAUGGCUGUAGAAAAUUUUUUCAGUUAUGUUAUCAUGAAAUACAACACGAUUCAAAACAAAUAACUGGCUAUUAUGCAAAUAAAGAUAAGUUAUUCCUAUUUUAGGUCUUGCAAUUGCAAUUUUAUGAUUUCAACACAAUGGUAUUACGCAGAAGCAAACCUUAAGAGAAGAAA
rnacentral:misc_RNA from 1 species